rnacentral:lncRNA from 1 species
UAAAAUUCUGUCCGCAGUGAAAAAGGGUCUUCAGAAAUACUGUGAAACUGUUUACUCGCUUAGUGGUAUUAACCAUAUGUGGAUUCUAAAGAACAACUAGACAAUUUUAAAUCACGGUCUUUUUCUGAAAUUUAUUCUAUUAAAACUUUUGAUUUUUCAACCCUGUACAUCCCAUUCCCCAUGUGAAAUUGAAAAAUCGCCUAAAAG